GGAGAGGUGGCCGAGCUGGCUGAAGGCGCUCGCCUGCUAAGCGAGUGUGCCCUUAAAAGGGGCACCGAGGGUUCGAAUCCCUCCCUCUCCG
rnacentral:tRNA from 1 species